rnacentral:sRNA from 1 species
GCGCGGCCUCCGCCGAGUCCGACGUGUUCGGAGCCGGGGACCCACCAUGUUCUUUGGGGUGAAUCCGCUCCGUACGGCGUACGGAGCGGUAGGGCAGCCUUCCGAAGCACCCGCCCGAACCCGACAGCUAACCCGGUAGGCGGUCCACGGAAGGAGUC